AUAGAUAGAUGCUAAAAGAGCUUGUUUAUGGGCUGUCCAUGUUUUGGGCUUGUGUAUGGUGCCAUGUGCCAGCUAUUUUUUAUUUUAUUUUUGCGCCUCUUGACACACGCAAUGCCAGAUUAAACAGACAUGGAUACUUGAAUCACUGGCUUCAUUCAGUUCUCUUCUAUUUAGCUGUCUAACCAGUGUACUUGUGUGUGCUAACUUUUACACAACAUACAAGUUUCACCUUUUUGCAAUUAUAUAUGGUACGUGAGUUAUGCAGUAAUGUAAUGUGAGUAUUUCUUGUCUCACAUUUCUAUCAGAAUUUUAGCUAAUGUAUUUUUAGAUGGACCACUGUAUUGGUCAAUGGCAUGUUAGACUGGUUAAGUUGGAUGAUUUAAGCAUAUGCAUUUAUCUCAUUGUUUUCUAUUGCUGUUUUUUGUUUCACAAACAGUCCAACACUAUUAUAAUUAAUCUUCUAGUUCAAUGUGCUUUUUCUUCCUGCCAUGGUUUAUACUGAUAUACUCAUUGAGCAGGGAAACCCUCAAAUGACAAAGACCAGGAGGAUAGGAAGGGUGACAAUGAGAUGGCAGGCUCUGGAAAUGUUUCUGAUGUGGAUUUGCUGGGAAAAUGUUAGAUACUGCAAGAGUAAUAAUGGGAAAGUGCACAGGCAACACUGUGGAGAUAUCAAGAAUCCUUUCCGCUCUCACUGAAGUCUCCAUGGAAAAGAGAGAGAGGAAUUAAUUAAACAAGUCACUCAGUGAAAUGUUUAGCCAUCUUGGAGCAUUUACCUAUGUUGGGGCCGUGCUCUGCCCCUUUUGCUUGUUCAAGGGUGGCGCGGCGAAUGCGGAUGCAACGCCGACCAGAGUUGUUGGGGACAUUGAUAUUUAUCCAGGGAGGAGCCUUGGAUGAUUCUUGGACAUGCUGAUGCCUAGGUGAUCUCCCGGCAAGGAGCCACUGUGUGGCGCGCACAUGAGGGUUUGUGGGUACCCGAUAUCCGCGACACUGACAACCUAACUGCAUUCUGUUUGGGGUAUGAAACUGUCAAUCGUCUGUCAUACAGCAGUAGUAUUUGCAUCCUUCCGGAGGUGGGUCUCUGUGGUUUUAGGAGUACUAAAUUUUUAGUUAGAUACGUGCUGGUAUCUUGUAGAUUUGGCUGGUCUUCCUGUUGCUUACCCCCCUUAAUUCAGUCCCAGGACUCCCUGCACCGGCUUGAUCUUGGAGCUGCCUCCAUUAUGUAAAUUGUGUAUACAGAACAGUAAAAGUGCAAGGAGGCUCGGAAAUUCCACUUGAAAAGAUGAGAUAAAGAUCAUUACCGACAUGAUACUACCUUUUCGAAAAAAAAAAUAUUGAGCAGAUACUAUUCAUGUUACCGACAUGAUAUCCCGCAUGAAUCUAAUGAUUUAUGAAGAAGGUGCCGAUUUUUCCUUUGAUUCAUCUUGCAGACCUGGAGCAAGCAAUCUCAACCCCAAAGCUAUGCCACAGGCGAGAUCAUGAAUUAUUUUGACUCAGCUUACUGAUUUCCUGACCAUCAUUCAUAUGUAGUAGGUCAUAGCAGCUAGAUAAAUGUUCUAAAAUUGGCAGGAUAUGCCUGGAACAUCAUGUCAAGGUGUUCCCUGUUCCCUUGGCACUCACCUAUGUACAAGUGCUGUAGCUAGAUAAAAAGUUGCCGACGUUCAGCAUUCGCCAUGAUUAGAACGGUAUCUUAUUGCCUGGUAAUUUUAGCACUACCAUUCAGAUAGUUGCUUUCAUCUGUCAUCCGAGGGAUCAUCACUGGCUCGAAAGGCGGUGAUACUGUUCAUUUUUUCCAAGGAGUCAGUUGUCUUGGGAGCACCACAGACCUGAUCCCAGGCGCCCAAAGGGGCAUGUGUAUGUCUCCAUCUUGUUAGAGGCCUUCCGUGGCUAUGAACCUCAAGACCCAUUAUUUGUUUCUACAGCAUCCGAGAUACUAGAAAUUCAGGACUCUAGUGACUAGAGUCUAGUCCAUUUUCUGAUCUCCAAACUCGGAGUGUUCAUUACGGAGCAAUGUCAGGAGCGAACUCCGUAGGAGGUUCGUUCUACGAUUCUACUCCGUAGGUGGUUCGUUCUACGAUUCUACGAAAAACCAAACUACUACUUGUGCUGGUUAGAGCAACUCCAAUGGGGCGACCCAUUUCGUCCGCCGCCAUCCGUUUGGAUCGGCGCAGACAUAAAAGGCGGCCCAAUGCGCCGACCCAAACGGACGCGCGUCCGCUUUUCGUCCGCGGGCGAUCCAUUCCUGCCCAUCUUUGAGCCGGAUUUGCAUCGGCGCGCACACGCGACGGACGCGCGCGCUCGCCUUAUCCUCUUCCCGGGCCCGCUGGUCGGUGGCACAUUAGCCUCCCCCUCACCCCCAGACAACAGCAACCCCUCGCCCGCCUCCUUCGUCGCCGACGCCGCCGCCCAUUUUUGCCGGCAACUCUGCCAGCUGCCGCCGCCUCCAUAUCCGCCCAGCAACGCCGCACACUCCCCCGUCGCCCGCCACCGUCGUCUUGCCGCCGGGGAGCAAACUGCUUCCCACCGCCGCUCCCCCACCGCACAGCCGCUCGCAACCAAGAAGCCGCCUCGCCGCCACGGCCAUAUCCG